UACGUAGGGUGCAAGCGUUGUCCGGAAUUAUUGGGCGUAAAGAGCUCGUAGGCGGCUUUGUCGCGUCGGCUGUGAAAACCUGGGGCUCAACCCGGGCCUGCAGCCGAUACGGGCAAGCUAGAAUUCGGUAGGGGAGACUGGAAUUCCUGGUGUAGCGGUGAAAUGCGUAGAUAUCGGAAGGAACAUCAGUGGCGAAAGCGGCUUCCUGGACCAGUACCGACGUCAGGCACGAAAGCGUGGGGAGCAAACAGG
rnacentral:rRNA from 1 species